rnacentral:rRNA from 1 species
GGAUGAACGCUGGCGGCGUGCCUAAUACAUGCACGUAGAACGCUGAAGGAGGAGCUUGCUCUUCUGGAUGAGUUGCGAACGGGUGAGUAACGCGUAGGUAACCUGCCUGGUAGCGGGGGAUAACUAUUGGAAACGAUAGCUAAUACCGCAUGACAACAGUUAUUGCAUGAUAACUGUUUAAAAGGGGCAACUGCUCCACUACCAGAUGGACCUGCGUUGUAUUAGCUAGUUGGUGAGGUAACGGCUCACCAAGGCGACGAUACAUAGCCGACCUGAGAGGGUGAUCGGCCACACUGGGACUGAGACACGGCCCAGACUCCUACGGGAGGCAGCAGUAGGGAAUCUUCGGCAAUGGACGGAAGUCUGACCGAGCAACGCCGCGUGAGUGAAGAAGGUUGUCGGAUCGUAAAGCUCUGUUGUAAGAGAAGAACGAGUGUGAGAGUGGAAAGUUCACACUGUGACGGUAUCUUACCAGAAAGGGACGGCUAACUACGUG